rnacentral:tRNA from 1 species
GGGUCGUUAGCUCAACUGGCAGAGCAGCUGACUCUUAAUCAGCGGGUUGUAGGUUCGAGUCCUACACGACCCACCA